UACGUAGGUGGCAAGCGUUGUCCGGAUUUACUGGGCGUAAAGAGCGCGCAGGCGGUCGUUCAAGUCGCGUGUGAAAGCCCCCGGCUCAACUGGGGAGGGUCACGCGAUACUGAUCGACUUGAAGGCAGGAGAGGGAAGCGGAAUUCCCGGUGUAGUGGUGAAAUGCGUAGAUAUCGGGAGGAACACCAGUGGCGAAGGCGGCUUCCUGGCCUGUUCUUGACGCUGAGGCGCGAAAGCUAGGGGAGCAAACGGG
rnacentral:rRNA from 1 species